rnacentral:rRNA from 1 species
AGAAUCAACGCUGGCGGCGUGCCUAACACAUGCAAGUCGAACGAGAAAGUGGAGCAAUCCAUGAGUAAAGUGGCGACCGGGUGAGUAACACGUGACUAACCUACCCUCGAGUGGGGAAUAACAUCGGGAAACCGAUGCUAAUACCGCAUAACAUCGCAAGAUCAAAGCCGAAAGGCGCUUGAGGAGGGGGUCGCGGCUGAUUAGCUAGUUGGUAGGGUAAUGGCCUACCAAGGCUUAGAUCGGUAGCCGGCCUGAGAGGGCGCACGGCCACACUGGAACUGAAACACGGUCCAGACUCCUACGGGAGGCAGCAGUGGGGAAUUUUGCGCAAUGGGGGAAACCCUGACGCAGCAACGCCGCGUGGAGGAUGAAGUCCCUUGGGACGUAAACUCCUUUCGACCGGGACGAUACUGACGGUACCGGAUGAAGAAGCACCGGCUAACUCUGUGCCAGCAGCCGC